rnacentral:rRNA from 1 species
ACGCUGGCGGCGUGCCUAACACAUGCAAGUCGAACGAGGAAGUGGAACAAUCCAUGAGUACAGUGGCGAACGGGUGAGUAACACGUGACUAACCUGCCUUCGAGUGGGGGAUAACCUCGGGAAACCGGGGCUAAUACCGCAUAACAUCCUCAGGGUGCAAUUCCCAGGGGACCAAAGGGGUAAGACGCUUGAAGAGGGGGUCGCGGCUGAUUAGCUAGUUGGUGAGGUAAUGGCUCACCAAGGCGAAGAUCGGUAGCCGGCCUGAGAGGGCGCACGGCCACACUGGAACUGAAACACGGUCCAGACUCCUACGGGAGGCAGCAGUGGGGAAUUUUGCGCAAUGGGGGAAACCCUGACGCAGCAACGCCGCGUGGAGGAUGAAGCCCCUUGGGGCGUAAACUCCUUUCGAUCGGGACGAUUAUGACGGUACCGGAUGAAGAAGCACCGGCUAACUCUGUGCCAGCAGCCGCGGUAAUACAGAGGGUGCGAGCGUUGUUCGGAAUUAUUGGGCGUAAAGGGCGCGUAGGCGGUGCGGCAAGUCACCUGUGAAACCUCUGGGCUUAACCCAGAGCCUGCAGGCGAAACUGCCGUGCUGGAGUGUGGGAGAGGUGCGUGGAAUUCCCGGUGUAG